GCUGGUAAAGCCUCAGUGUGUGAGCAUGUCCGAGUGUUUGUUGUGUGUCUGCAGAGGGGAGGAGACGCGCUUCACCGCUAAGAGGGAAUCUGAGACAACAAGCAACCGACGGUUCCAUUGUCCUCCCGUGUAUCUAUCGUUUCUCUGUUUUUUCCACCAACACUCCGUCCUUUCUAGCUUGACGAUGACGUUUGUCUGGAUUUAUAACUGAUCUCGUUCUGCAGCUUCACUGAUGUGAAGACCACUGGACCAGAGCAGAGCAAAGACUGAGCCAAAGGUAAGGACAAGUCUAGCUUGACACUUUCAAUCCUCACAAGCAAUCUGUCUCUCACUUCACCAUCACCCUCACCAUCAAAGGGAAAACAAGGGCUGACCCAAACCUGGCAGACCAGUCCAAUCACCGUUUGACAUCAGACUCUUCACCAACAACAGGCAAUUCCACCCAAUCACAUUAAAAGGAUGUUGACCCUGUAAUUCAAACACCUUCCAAAUCGCCAUGACCAGCGUCAACUCUCCAGCCUGUCUGCUCGCCCGCAACCACUUUUAUAAAAAUUUACCUUCCAGUCCGGAGCCUUCACCGGCAGCGUUCACCUGUCAGAACGACUCCGUCAGCCAGAGACAGGUCACCCUCUGGGUCACCAUGGCAACGCCUCCUGCACUAUCAGGUGGAAUUGAAAACAAAAGCUUGUGCAUCAACAUUGUGCUCGGUUUUCCCUCCUCUCGUUCAUCCCCCACCUCUAAACCGUCCAGCCCCGCUGAGUGGGGCGGCAAGUAGAGAGGACCAAGUGCACCUCACUGGAAAGGACGUUAAGAAACCCACAUCGAUUAACUUCCCGUUUGUCUUGACGGCUCAGGAUUGGACGGCCUGGAUCAAAUGGACAUAUGUGGAUGAAAUGGACAAAUAUCGCGUAAAAAGGACAUUGAAAUAUCGCAAGAGGGUCAGUAAUGUCAAAGACAAUUGAUGGUGUGAAAAUGGGCUUUGAGUGGACGGGCACUCAUUUCAUUAAUGUUUUUUUUCCAGAAGUGAUUUGGGUAAUUAAGUGCAAUAGGUGUAACCAAUAUAAAUAAAGCUGCAAUGAUUACUUCAAUAAUCAAUUAGAAAAUUGAAAGAAAGUGAAUAUGCAACUAUUUUGAAAAUUCCUUAGCAUAUGAUAAUAUGUCACUGUUCUGUUUUCUGAUGUUUUAUUGACCAAAAGGAUAAACUGAGAAAAUAAACUACAGAAACAUUAAGUUUACAUUAAGAUACCAGCCCGAUACUGACUUUGGAUUAAAACAGAGAGGGGCAAAUAUGCACAUGCACAGUGUGGUGAUGAUUAACCUUCCAGGAUCAUACCAUGUCAUGGUUAUAUGACCUUCAGUUAAAAAAAAAAAAAGAGAGAAAUUUCUCUUGUAUAAUUCAGCAUUCAAACUGCUGAAAGUAUAAUCUUAGCCUUAAUGGGUAAAAGGUCUGGGAUUAAGCAAACAGUAGAAACAGCAUGUACACCAAGGAUCUCCGAUGAGCAAUCACACGGAGCAUCAAAGAGAAAUCUAUCACCUUGUUACUUAUAAGACAGAAGGAAUACGUUCAUGUCCUUCUGUCCAGUGUGCAAAAUAUGGAAGAGAUUAUUUUCAUAUGGCAGAAGAUAAUGAAGAUAAACAAAGCCGAUUGUAUGAAUUGUUGUUUUUCAUUAUGCCACAAUGAGUCUUUAAGCCAGGUCCGCUCAACAGAGGCUUCCACCAUGUUCUUACAGUAGCCAACAAUGGACUAAAUGCAUUGUUUUGAUGUGAACUGAACUGAAGGCUGCAUAGGUUCCCCAACACACUUGCCACCAUCAUAGUUCUCUCAGUGACAAGUUUCUUGUUGAAAAGUGGCCAACGGUAUCACACAUUUGUGGCUUUGUAUUAAUAUUCAAAGAAUGACCACAACCUGAGAAAAGAAUCAGCCUGGCAGGCGGACAGCUCACCUGUCGCCUUAUCCUCCAGGAGACAUAAGCAAGCCUGGUGUUCAAGAUGGAGCAGAUAGUUCACAAUUCAAUAUGCUCAGGGUUCUUAACGCCAAUCAUAGACUAUUAAAGAACAAUUCCUCACUUGUGAUUAUCAAAUAAAACAAUAUACAGUAA